rnacentral:tRNA from 1 species
GCGUGCGCGAGCGACGCGGCGAACGCCGCGCGGUCGCCGCGCGCGAGCGUACCGCGUGCGUCGGCCAGCGCAUGUUCGGCGUCGAGCUUGCGCGCG